AGACCUCCAWCAGACAAGAAUACCCG
rnacentral:rRNA from 1 species